CCUACGGGGGGCAGCAGUGAGGAAUAUUGGUCAAUGGACGAGAGUCUGAACCAGCCAAGUAGCGUGAAGGAUGACUGCCCUAUGGGUUGUAAACUUCUUUUAUAAAGGAAUAAAACGAGGCACGUGUGCCUCUUUGCAUGUACUUUAUGAAUAAGGAUCGGCUAACUCCGUGCCAGCAGCCGCGGUAAUACGGAGGAUCCGAGCGUUAUCCGGAUUUAUUGGGUUUAAAGGGUGCGUAGAUGGGUUGUUAAGUCAGUUGUGAAAGUGUGCGGCUCAACCGUAAAAUUGCAAUUGAUACUGGCAGUCUUGAGUACAUUUGAGGUAGGCGGAAUGCGUGGUGUAGCGGUGAAAUGCUUAGAUAUCACGAAGAACCCCGAUUGCGAAGGCAGCUUACUAAGCUGUGACUGACAUUGAUGCUCGAAAGUGUGGGUAUCAAACAGGAUUAGAUACCCUUGUAGUC
rnacentral:rRNA from 1 species